ensembl:lncRNA
AAUUCGGUGGGGUUCCACUUUCUUUCCUCUCUCUUUUUUUAUUUUAUUAUUUUUCUUUUUUAAAGUCGGGGUUUAACCCUGAAGUUUUCUAGACUUAAACUAGAAGGCACUGUAAGCAGCCCCCUCCAAGGGUCUAUUUGCAUCAAGGAAAGGACCCUGAGCUGGCACUAGGAGAGUGGCUGCUCUCUGGGAUCCACCUCAGUGCAUGCUCAAGGUAAUUUAAAUGCUGAUGUGGAUGGGACAAAACUUUGAAGCACCGGUACAGAAAGUGAGGGCUACCACACUCAACCCCACAAGUACUUACUUCCCAAGAACGUCCCACAGCUUUGUCCCAUCAAUUUUAGCAAUUAAAAUAUUUUUGACUGAGGUAGAGUCACUGCUGACACCUAGUGUUGCCAGUUGGCCCAUUUUCUAGGAGGGGUGGACCUGUGUUUUGAAGCCAUGAAGCUAUUGCAUCAGCAGGAUGUCCUUAAGUGCUCAUACCCCUGACAGAGCUUACAGGUGUUUGGCAUUGGAAAGCAAGAUGAAUGUUUAAAAAGCUGUUACACGCCUAUUUAAUUCCUUUCUCUUUGCCACUGCAAUCUAGCUCACCAGGAAACAGCCUACAUUUAAAAAAACAACACACACACAAAAAAAAAAAAAAAGAAAAAGAAAACAAAAAAAAAAGAAACAUCCUAUAUCCUAUGUUGCUAUGAAGCUGAGCUCUUCUUUUUGUUUUUGAGAACCCUCAACACUACUGAAGUGCACUGCUGUCCUUCCCAGCUCUCCCUGUCCUGUUGUUUCAAGGUGUUCUUCCUGGGGAUGGGGAAAGAAGCCCUGUAAUGCAGUGGCUUAACUCCUUUAGUGUGUGGUUUUGAGUACACUGCUCGGUGGAUUGAGGUAGAAAUGGAUACUUAGUUCUAAUGACUAUUGUUACUGUGUGGUUUUGUUUCUGGCUGUGAACCCUUUUAAAAAUAAGCAUGACUCACAUAACUUGGCUUUACCCGUACAGGACCAGCGAGAAAUGAAAAGACUCAUCAGGCUGUUCUUGCUAAUUGGAAGAAAUGGUUUCAGAAAGCUUUUUAAAUGAAAUUUAGCCCUACUUUGAGAACUCUCUUCCUCCCCACCACAAGUACAAGUCUCUCUUCCACUCCCUUCCAGUCUCUUAAUGUCUUCAAGGCGCCAAUGCAGCAGAGGUACUAUUGGGCUCUUCCAGGUAAUCUUCAAGUGCAAUAAACAUCUUGUCCUCUCCGUGAAGGUGAGGAUAUCCAGAAGGGGGAAAAUAUUAUCUUAUUUUGAUUCCAGUUUCCAUUUUCUCCUCCAGCCACUGUUGUUUAUUCCAGUUAGAAGCCAGAAAGAGUUUGUUUGAGCCUUCCACUGGUAGAUUAUAAACUUGAUAGAAGUCCCUGGUUCAGAAAUAGGGCUGGGGAAUAGGAAACAAAGGACCUUGGUUCUGUCUUUGACUUGCUGUAAGCUUGGGCAAGUCACUCAACUUCUCUGUGCCUCAGUUGCCCCCAUCUGCCAAGUGGGGCUAAAUACAUACACUGCUUUUGUAAAGCAGUUCAGCUCUACAGAAAAUCAAGAGCUAUGCAUCUAAAUGUUACUAGCAGCGUUAGGAUAUUCUGGGAAAUGCAGAGCAUUCAUAUGUGCAGUAAACAACCAUGGAUCUGAGGUAGGAGAGCACCAAAACCACCUGAUCUGAAAGAAGUUUGUUGGGGAUGAAGGUAAAUACACACUAGCAGAGCUAUAAAUGCUGUAGCACUUGACCACAAAGUGCAACUGCUUGGCUCUGCGUGGGGUAAAUGAAGAGAGUGAAAUGGGAAAAUAGCAGCUCAUUGCUACAUGCAGUGUUACUCAUAUGUACACAUGUGCAUUUUGUGAUAUGUUGCUCAAUAUGGAGAAGGGUGGUCCUGCUACAGAGGAAAAGAAAAGUCUCAGAGUUCUAUCAGUCCUAGCUGAUAUGCAGAUGAAAAAACAUUGGUAUGCAUGUUUGAAGUGCUGCAAUGUGGCCAUAUAGCAUUGUUCUGAGCACUCUGAUCUUCUGUAUCUUAAUCACUUACGUAUCUAGAAUUAGUAUGCAGAGAUAUAUUAUAAAUGUAGAUUUGAGGUAGGUCAAAGAUUGAUUACACUUUUUCCUGUAUUUCAAACUUACAUCUUACAUCAAUCUUACAUCUGUUAAAAUAAUAGCUGGGAGUUGAUGUACUUAAUGGAAAUAUUUACAGCACCACAGUAUAAUAUCAUAAGACAAUAUUAAAAGAGACUAUCUGCCAGACCGCCUUAUUGAUCUUUUUGAUUGAAGCCCAGACCACUCCUCUGGGUUUUUUCUUAGCUUUCCUUCUCCAUCACUGUGUGUGUCAACAUGCUUCAUUGGUAUAUAGUAAAACAUUCUGCUAUGAACAUUGUUCAGUGUAUGCUUAUUUGCCAGAAAAGACUGCUUCCACUUGCAUCUCCUGUCUUCAGAGUAUUAUAACUCUAUCUCUACAGAUCUCUAAGUUUAGCCAGUCCAACAACAACAACAAAAAAAACCAACAUUAAUCUCGAGCUGCUGUUUUUUAAGCCACGUGGAGAAUUCUUGAACCUUGAUUUUCAACUGUAGAAAGCUCCUCUGCCGAUCACAACAUGACGUGUCUUAUUGUGCCACAACUAGCAGUGCAUCAAGAUGGCCUGGAUUCUGCAGGAGCUGUGACCAGGGCUAAGAGUCGAUCUGUUUCUUAAUUGUAUUUUUAUCUUGCUUUUUUUUUUUUUUUUUUUUUAAUAUAAGCAUAUCUUUGUGCCUCUUCCUGCCACCCCCACCCCCCACCACCCAAAAUGCUCAAAUUUUUGCUCUUGUAAUGUAAAUAAAGAAAAUUCAUCCUCCACCCCCUCAAGUGUUCCUAAUUGCCUACAUGUAAAAUGACUUGAGGAAAGUAGAUUGAAAAGUG